CGCAGCUGUAUCGCAUUUUAUGUUUCUGGCGAGAGGAGAGCGGAAUCUAUAUCCCGUGAAUUCAUUUAACUGCGGCAGCCAUCCGCCGGUUCCUCCAGGGCAGCACCUAGUGAAGGUCGGAAGAGUCCGGAUCUCUCAGAAAGCAAUUGGUCUGAAGAAAACAGAACAGCUCCGUGACAGACAUCUGCAAGUAUUCCUGAGAGGGAGCCUCACUCUGAAAAAAUGGAAAGGUGUUCCAGUUUUUAAAAGACCUGGAUCUGCUAUCUGUUGAAAUUAUAUUUCUGAUGUGAACCUGCUUUGGAGGAGCAGGAAAAUGGACCUGAC